rnacentral:misc_RNA from 1 species
GGCAACUGAAGUACCAAUUUCAACACUUGGGCCUUCUGGUCCUAAGGAAUUUCCAGUUCCUAAAGUGAUACAAGCAGCAAUUGUCUUCAAAACUGGUCUCAAGACAGAUUUAACAGAUGAUGUCCAAUUUCCUUGCGUUGAGACGUCCAGUGUGGCUCGGAAAGUGUUCAAAAAACUGACUAGCAAACCCCCAGAAGCUGGUACUAAGAUUACACGUUGCCAAAUUACUCCAAUAGGCUCCUCCCUUAACCACGAGGCACCUCGAG